CCUACGGGCCGCAGCAGUGGGGAAUCUUGGACAAUGGGCGAAAGCCCGAUCCAGCAAUAUCGCGUGAGUGAAGAAGGGCAAUGCCGCUUGUAAAGCUCUUUCGUCGAGUGCGCGAUCAUGACAGGACUCGAGGAAGAAGCCCCGGCUAACUUCGUGCCAGCAGCCGCGGUAAUACGAAGGGGGCUAGCGUUGCUCGGAAUGACUGGGCGUAAAGGGCGCGUAGGCGGUUUAUGCAGUCAGAUGUGAAAUCCCCGGGCUUAACCUAGGAACUGCAUUUGAGACGCAUAGACUAGAGGUCGAGAGAGGGUUGUGGAAUUCCCAGUGUAGAGGUGAAAUUCAUAGAUAUUGGGAAGAACACCGGUGGCGAAGGCGGCAACCUGGCUCGAUACUGACGCUGAGGCGCGAAAGCGUGGGGAUCAAACAGGAUUAGAUACCCCCGUAGUC
rnacentral:rRNA from 1 species